UCUUCGAGUCGUUGAUUUCACACUGCCGAGAAAAGCCUCUAGAUAGAAAAUAGGUGCCCGUACCGCAAACCGACACAGGUAGUCAAGAUGAGAAUUCUAAGGUGAGCGAGCGAACUCUCGUUAAGGAACUCGGCAAAAUGACCCCGUAACUUCGGGAGAAGGGGUGCUCUUUAGGGUUAACGCCCAGAAGAGCCGCAGUGAAUAGGCCCAAGCGACUGUUUAUCAAAAACACAGGUCUCUGCUAAACCGUAAGGUGAUGUAUAGGGGCUGACGCCUGCCCGGUGCUGGAAGGUUAAGAGGAGUGGUUAGCUUCUGCGAAGCUACGAAUCGAAGCCCCAGUAAACGGCGGCCGUAACUAUAACGGUCCUAAGGUAGCGAAAUUCCUUGUCGGGUAAGUUCCGACCCGCACGAAAGGCGUAACGAUUUGGGCACUGUCUCAACGAGAGACUCGGUGAAAUCAUAGUACCUGUGAAGAUGCAGGUUACCCGCGACAGGACGGAAAGACCCCGUGGAGCUUUACUGUAGCCUGAUAUUGAAAUUCGGCACAGCUUGUACAGGAUAGGUAGGAGCCUUUGAAACGUGAGCGCUAGCUUACGUGGAGGCGCUGGUGGGAUACUACCCUAGCUGUGUUGGCUUUCUAACCCGCACCACUUAUCGUGGUGGGAGACAGUGUCAAGCGGGCAGUUUGACUGGGGCGGUCGCCUCCUAAAAGGUAACGGAGGCGCUCAAAGGUUCCCUCAGAAUGGUUGGAAAUCAUUCAUAGAGUGUAAAGGCAUAAGGGAGCUUGACUGCGAGACCUACAAGUCGAGCAGGGUCGAAAGACGGACUUAGUGAUCCGGUGGUUCCGCAUGGAAGGGCCAUCGCUCAACGGAUAAAAGCUACCCCGGGGAUAACAGGCUUAUCUCCCCCAAGAGUUCACAUCGACGGGGAGGUUUGGCACCUCGAUGUCGGCUCAUCGCAUCCUGGGGCUGUAGUCGGUCCCAAGGGUUGGGCUGUUCGCCCAUUAAAGCGGUACGCGAGCUGGGUUCAGAACGUCGUGAGACAGUUCGGUCCCUAUCCGUCGUGGGCGUAGGAAAUUUGAGAGGAGCUGUCCUUAGUACGAGAGGACCGGGAUGGACAUACCUCUGGUGUACCAGUUGUCGUGCCAACGGCAUAGCUGGGUAGCUAUGUGUGGACGGGAUAAGUGCUGAAAGCAUCUAAGCAUGAAGCCCCCCUCAAGAUGAGAUUUCCCAACUUCGGUUAUAAGAUCCCUCAAAGAUGAUGAGGUUAAUAGGUUCGAGGUGGAAGCAUGGUGACAUGUGGAGCUGACGAAUACUAAUCGAUCGAAGACUUAAUCAAAA
rnacentral:rRNA from 1 species